AAUAAUAUGACAAAUCCUCCACAUCUAUUUUAUAAUCUUCUGGAAAAUGGGCUAAGUAGAGGAAGCAAUGCUUCAAAUAAGCAGGCAGCUCUUCAAAGCUCAGAUACAAAACAUGGUAAACAACAUUUCUUUCAUUAAAGCUAGUCCCUCCGACGAUAUAAGAUCCAAUAUUCUCAUAUAUCUUUUUCCACUCACACAAUGUGUAUUGUGCAGCUAACAAACCUCCUAACACUUUUAAAGCCAAGGGUAGACCUCCACAAUGUUUGAUCAUCUGUUUUCCCAUCUCUUUCAUUUCUUCAUCAAUCUUGAAUUCUGCACAUCAAAUUAUAAAAAUG
rnacentral:lncRNA from 1 species